CGGUGGAGCAUGUGGUUUAAUUCGAAGCAACGCGAAGAACCUUACCAGGCCUUGACAUGCAGAGAACUUUCCAGAGAUGGAUUGGUGCCUUCGGGAACUCUGACACAGGUGCUGCAUGGCUGUCGUCAGCUCGUGUCGUGAGAUGUUGGGUUAAGUCCCGUAACGAGCGCAACCCUUGUCCUUAGUUACCAGCACGUUAUGGUGGGCACUCUAAGGAGACUGCCGGUGCAAACCGGAGGAAGGUGGGGAUGACGUCAAGUCAUCGUGGCCCUUACGGCCUGGGCUACACACGUGCUACAAUGGUCGGUACAAAGGGUUGCCAAGCCGCGAGGUGGAGCUAAUCCCAUAAAACCGAUCGUAGUCCGGAUCGCAGUCUGCAACUCGACUGCGUGAAGUCGGAAUCGCUAGUAAUCGUGAAUCAGAAUGUCACGGUGAAUACGUUCCCGGGCCUU
rnacentral:rRNA from 1 species